AUUGAACGCUGGCGGCAGGCCUAACACAUGCAAGUCGAACGGUAACAGAGAGUAGCUUGCUACUUUGCUGACGAGUGGCGGACGGGUGAGUAAUGUCUGGGGAUCUGCCUGAUGGAGGGGGAUAACUACUGGAAACGGUAGCUAAUACUGCAUAAUGUCGCAAGACCAAAGCGGGGGACUUUCGGGCCUCGCACCAUCAGAUGAACCCAGAUGGGAUUAGCUAGUAGGUAGGGUAAUGGCUUACCUAGGCGACGAUCCCUAGCUGGUCUGAGAGGAUGACCAGCCACACUGGAACUGAGACACGGUCCAGACUCCUACGGGAGGCAGCAGUGGGGAAUAUUGCACAAUGGGCGCAAGCCUGAUGCAGCCAUGCCGCGUGUAUGAAGAAGGCCUUCGGGUUGUAAAGUACUUUCAGUCAGGAGGAAGGGUGUGAAAUUAAUACUUUCAUACAUUGACGUUACUGACAGAAGAAGCACCGGCUAACUCCGUGUCAGCAGCCGCCGUAA
rnacentral:rRNA from 1 species